GUUCUAUGGAAGCAGCACACACUUUAUACACACACACACACAGGAACACACACACACACACACACGGCAGAAGCAGUGGGAAGUUGGCAGCCACAGCUCUCCUUUCCAGUCUCCCUGGUGAUCGUUGAAAGCGGCAGCAACUUGUCCCAUGCAGGAGCCCACCAGCCCAUGUCACAUGACUUCAGACCAGAAUCCACUCUGCCCGGACAAUUUACAGGUGCCUUUCACGCUGGAGGCGCUGGACCCCGGGUACUACUACUACUACGAGCUGGCAGAACCUCUGCCUGACCUGCUGACCCCGUCCAGCAUCAACGGGAGCGGUGAGGACCCUCAGACAUCCUCAUCAGACAGCCCUAUCAGGCCUGGAUAUUCGGCAGGCCAGCCUACACCCACAG
rnacentral:lncRNA from 1 species